rnacentral:rRNA from 1 species
GAUGAACGCUGGCGGCGUGCCUAAUACAUGCAAGUCGAGCGAACGGACUAGAAGCUUGCUUUUCUGAUGUUAGCGGCGGACGGGUGAGUAACACGUGGAUAACCUACCUAUAAGACUGGGAUAACUUCGGGAAACCGGAUCUAAUACCGGAUAAUAUUUUGAACCGCAUGGUUCAAAAGUGAAAGACGGUCUUGCUGUCACUUAUAGAUGGAUCCGCGCUGCAUUAGCUAGUUGGUAAGGUAACGGCUUACCAAGGCAACGAUGCAUAGCCGACCUGAGAGGGUGAUCGGCCACACUGGAACUGAGACACGGACAAGACUCCUACGGGAGGCAGCAGUAGGGAAUCGGCCGCAAUGGGCGAAAGCAUGACGGAGCAACGCCGCGUGAGUGAUGAAGGUCUUCGGAGAGGAAAACUCUGUUAUGAGGGAAGAACAUAUGUGUAAGGAAAUGUGCACAUAGUGACGGUACCUAAUCAGAAAGCCACGGCUAACUACGUG